rnacentral:lncRNA from 7 species
AGUGGGCUGAUGGAGAAAGAAUGGCGGUGCUUCCGUGCCUGGGGCAGCGCUCCCCUCCCCUCCCUUCCCCUCCCGUCCCACAGCGCUGCGGGAAGCGAUGGCAGCGGCUGCAAUAGAGCACGCUUUGCUUACUGCAAACUCCGCGUCUUUACGAUGGGCAGCGGCUUGGCAGGAUGGGCAGAGAAAGAAAUCGAAGGAGUCCCGAAGGCGUGUGACUCCCUGAAGGGUCGCACUCUCUGCGGUACUUCAUGACCGGGAUGACGGAUCCCGGCCCCGGCAUGCCGCAGUUCGUGAUCGUCGGGUACGUGGAUGGCGAACUCUUCGGGAAGUACGACAGUAAGAGCCGGUGGGUGCACCCCAUUGUGGAGAAGCUGCCGCAGGAGGACCAGGAGCACUGGGACACACAGACCCUGAAGGCCCGGGAGGGUGAGCUGGAGUUCUCCGAGGGGCUGCACAGGCUGCAGGUGCGCUACAACAGAAGUGGAGGGUCUCACACACUGCAGAAGAUGUUUGGCUGUGACAUCCUGGAGAACCCCCAGGGUGAUACCUGCUUCUCGAAAGAGAAGAACUGCGUAUCCCAGAGGACCUCACGGUCAGAGAGGGAAGAUACGGCACUGAAAUCACGGGAUGUGAGUUGCGUGAUCAGGCUCACACUCUCUCUCUGACAGCCACGCAGAGUGCUGGGUGUGCUUCCGAGCUGUGCGCCUUCAUUCAAGCAGACCUUUCGGUUUUGGAAACUUUCUCUUAUUUUAUCUUAUUUAUAACCCGUACUUUCAAUUCGAUUGUAUUAUAUUGUGUUUUCUUGCAUUCCAAUAUCACGGUUAGUAAAAUAAGUUCUCCACC